rfam:Citreicella sp. SE45 genomic scaffold scf_1113211290437, whole genome shotgun sequence.
GUGGAGGGCCGGGCGGCCGCUGCCGGCGGGGUGACCCGUCGGGAGAGGAAAGUCCGGACUCGCCGAAGCGCCGGUGCCGGGUAACGCCCGGGCAGGGCAACCUGACGGAGAGCGCCACAGAGAACAGACCGCUCCGGUUCGCCGGAGCAAGGGUGAAACGGUGGGGUAAGAGCCCACCGGGGGACGGGCAACCGGACCCGCAUGGCAAGCCCCACCGGGAGCAAUGCCAAAUAGGGACUUCGCGCGGGGCAUGAUCUCUUCGGGGAUAUCGCCGCAGGGCUGCUUCGGCCCGAGACGUCCGGGUUGGCAGCACGAGCCCGCGGGCAAUCGCGGGCCUAGAGGAAUGGUCGCACAGGGGUGGGGAGACCCGCCCUGGACAGAAUCCGGCUUACAGGCCCUCCACGCAG